AGUAACGGCGAGUGAAGCGUGAAGAGCUCAAAUUUAAAAUCUGGCAGUGUAUUCUGUCCGAGUUGUAGUCUAGAGAAGCAUCAUCCGUGCUGGACCAUGUACAAGUCUCUUGGAACAGAGCGUCAUAGAGGGUGAGAAUCCCGUCCUUGACAUGGACUCCCAGUACUUUGUGUUGUGCUCUCAACGAGUCGAGUUGUUUGGGA
rnacentral:rRNA from 1 species